rnacentral:rRNA from 1 species
GAUGAACGCUGGCGGCGUGCCUAAUACAUGCAAGUCGAGCGAACGGACGAGAAGCUUGCUUCUCUGAUGUUAGCGGCGGACGGGUGAGUAACACGUGGAUAACCUACCUAUAAGACUGGGAUAACUUCGGGAAACCGGAGCUAAUACCGGAUAAUAUUUUGAACCGCAUGGUUCAAAAGUGAAAGACGGUCUUGCUGUCACUUAUAGGUGGAUCCGCGCUGCAUUAGCUAGUUGGUAAGGUAACGGCUUACCAAGGCAACGAUGCAUAGCCGACCUGAGAGGGUGAUCGGCCACACUGGAACUGAGACACGGUCCAGACUCCUACGGGAGGCAGCAGUAGGGAAUCUUCCGCAAUGGGCGAAAGCCUGACGGAGCAACGCCGCGUGAGUGAUGAAGGUCUUCGGAUCGUAAAACUCUGUUAUUAGGGAAGAACAUAUGUGUAAGUAACUGUGCACAUCUUGACGGUACCUAAUCAGAAAGCCACGGCUAACUACGUGCCAGCAGCCGCGGUAAUACGUAGGUGGCAAGCGUUAUCCGGAAUUAUUGGGCGUAAAGCGCGCGUAGGCGGUUUUUUAAGUCUGAUGUGAAAGCCCACGGCUCAACCGUGGAGGGUCAUUGGAAACUGGAAAACUUGAGUGCAGAAGAGGAAAGUGGAAUUCCAUGUGUAGCGGUGAAAUGCGCAGAGAUAUGGAGGAACACCAGUGGCGAAGGCGACUUUCUGGUCUGUAACUGACGCUGAUGUGCGAAAGCGUGGGGAUCAAACAGGAUUAGAUACCCUGGUAGUCCACGCCGUAAACGAUGAGUGCUAAGUGUUAGGGGGUUUCCGCCCCUUAGUGCUGCAGCUAACGCAUUAAGCACUCCGCCUGGGGAGUACGACCGCAAGGUUGAAACUCAAAGGAAUUGACGGGGACCCGCACAAGCGGUGGAGCAUGUGGUUUAAUUCGAAGCAACGCGAAGAACCUUACCAAAUCUUGACAUCCUUUGACAACUCUAGAGAUAGAGCCUUCCCCUUCGGGGGACAAAGUGACAGGUGGUGCAUGGUUGUCGUCAGCUCGUGUCGUGAGAUGUUGGGUUAAGUCCCGCAACAAGCGCAACCCUUAAGCUUAGUUGCCAUCAUUAAGUUGGGCACUCUAAGUUGACUGCCGGUGACAAACCGGAGGAAGGUGGGGAUGACGUCAAAUCAUCAUGCCCCUUAUGAUUUGGGCUACACACGUGCUACAAUGGACAAUACAAAGGGCAGCGAAACCGCGAGGUCAAGCAAAUCCCAUAAAGUUGUUCUCAGUUCGGAUUGUAGUCUGCAACUCGACUACAUGAAGCUGGAAUCGCUAGUAAUCGUAGAUCAGCAUGCUACGGUGAAUACGUUCCCGGGUCU